rnacentral:rRNA from 1 species
GACGAACGCUGGCGGCGUGCUUAACACAUGCAAGUCGAACGGAAAGGCCCUGCUUGCAGGGUACUCGAGUGGCGAACGGGUGAGUAACACGUGGGUGAUCUGCCCUGCACUUCGGGAUAAGCUUGGGAAACUGGGUCUAAUACCGGAUAGGAGCCAUCUUUAGUGUGGUGGUUGGAAAGUUUUUUCGGUGUAGGAUGAGCUCGCGGCCUAUCAGCUUGUUGGUGGGGUAAUGGCCUACCAAGGCGGCGACGGGUAGCCGGCCUGCGAGGGUGUACGGCCACAUUGGGACUGAGAUACGGCCCAGACUCCUACGGGAGGCAGCAGUGGGGAAUAUUGCACAAUGGGCGCAAGCCUGAUGCAGCGACGCCGCGUGGGGGAUGAAGGCCUUCGGGUUGUAAACUCCUUUCGCUAGGGACGAAGCUUUGUUGUGACGGUACCUAGAUAAGAAGCACCGGCUAACUACGUG